AUUGAACGCUGGCGGCAGGCCUAACACAUGCCAGUCGAGCGGAUGAAGGGAGCUUGCUCCUGGAUUCAGCGGCGGACGGGUGAGUAAUGCCUAGGAAUCUGCCUGGUAGUGGGGGAUAACGUCCGGAAACGGGCGCUAAUACCGCAUACGUCCUGAGGGAGAAAGUGGGGGAUCUUCGGACCUCACGCUAUCAGAUGAGCCUAGGUCGGAUUAGCUAGUUGGUGGGGUAAAGGCCUACCAAGGCGACGAUCCGUAACUGGUCUGAGAGGAUGAUCAGUCACACUGGAACUGAGACACGGUCCAGACUCCUACGGGAGGCAGCAGUGGGGAAUAUUGGACAAUGGGCGAAAGCCUGAUCCAGCCAUGCCGCGUGUGUGAAGAAGGUCUUCGGAUUGUAAAGCACUUUAAGUUGGGAGGAAGGUCAGUAAGUUAAUACCUUGCUGUUUUGACGGUACCAACAGAAUAAGCACCGGCUAACUUCGUG
rnacentral:rRNA from 1 species